UACAGAGGGUGCGAGCGUUGUCCGGAAUCACUGGGCGUAAAGGGCGUGUAGGCGGGAAGGAAAGUCGGGCGUGAAAUCCCUGGGCUCAACCCAGGAACUGCACUCGAAACUUCUUUUCUUGAGUGCCGGAGAGGAAAGCGGAAUACCUGGUGUAGAGGUGAAAUUCGUAGAUAUCAGGUGGAACACCAGUGGCGAAGGCGGCUUUCUGGACGGUAACUGACGCUGGAGAACGCGAAAGCGUGGGGAGCAAACAGG
rnacentral:rRNA from 1 species